GCUGGGAGUCAGGACUCCUGGGUUCUGUCCCUAGCUCUGAGAGGGAAGGGGAGUCUCAUGGUCAGAGGGCUGGGUUGGGGCUUGGAGUCAGGACCCCUGGCUUUUACCCGGCUGCUUUACCCAGUGUGUUUUGUUUCAAUCCGCAGUUGUGGCUGCAAAAAGAUUCUCUGAAAAUGUUUUGGUUUUUUUUAAAACAAAAUGAUGAUAAAUCUGUGCUUAAUUUAGUAACACACUGGGACAGAUGCUUUAUCGGGGAGCGGCCAGUUCAGGGGUGCAGUAAAUGGGACAUGGGGCCUUUCCCCUCUAGGGGGCGCCAGCUCCAAUCCAGCCAGGGCAGGGAAACUGGCUGGCUCAGGGGAUUGAGGCAUGGGAUACCGGGCCUUUCUCCUCUUGGGACGCCGGUUCCAUUCGCUAGUAACCAAAAGCCAUUCCCAUCUACCUGCGCCCUAUGAAUCAAACUGAUGGGGAUCCUGGCCCCAACCAUUCACUUUAGGCACCUCUGUGCCCCCUUGCUGGCGGCCUCAGUAAUUAUCAGAGGUCUGAAUUGAGGCACAUUAGGGAUGGGGGCUGAGGGAGCGGCUUCUUCUGUCCCCAGAACCCCAGUCUUUGUGUCUCAGCAGGGGGAGAUUUUAACUGGACUUAGAGCUGGAUCUAAAGCCCAUGGGAGUCAAUGGGAAGAUCUGGCUGGGCUUUGGAUCAGACCUGAGACACUUGGUCUCCAAGUCUCGUGUUUUAUGGUUUCUCUGUUCUGAUGCAGGAGGCUGCGACCGCUCUGGGCUGGGCAUGAAACUGGGAGUCAGGACUCCUGGGUUCUAUUCCUGGCUCUGGGAGGGGACCCCAGCCUUACACCAAUGCCUUAACCAGGAACCUUUAUUUUUAAGCGCUGGGUUUUUUUAAUGUGUUGGUCUUAACCCGAAGCUGAUAAAGUAUUUUUGUAUCUUUGAUUUUUGUGCGAUCUGAGAAAACAAAUUUUUUUUAAAUACAAGUUGUUGCUGCUUUUA